AACACCAAGGUGGACUGGUCUGGUAGAAUAUUGCAUGAAUGAGGGUGCAAAAUGAGAUUGGGCUGUGAGAAGUGGCCAAUGCUUAUGGCCGACCUGUAUUUUCAUGCAAAUGUCAUCCUACAGUGCAUUCGGGAAGUAUUCAGACCCCUAGACUUUUUCCACAUUGUGUUACAUUACAGCCUUGUUCUAAAAUUGUUAAGAUCGUUUUUCCCCCUGUUGUGGAAUUAUCAGAAUUUGUUGGUAACAUUUUUAAGCUGUUUAAUAUUAAUCAAAUGUGUGUAAGUUACUUCUCAUCAGAAUGGUAUUUUUGUGUAAUUCUGUGGUGAGGUUGCAGUUAUCUGUUCUAUGUCAAAACUAAGUUGCAUGGGCCGCUGAGAGGGGAGAGGUCAAAGUGUCAUCAUGUGUAAACAUAUCUUUUACUCCCUACCUUUCCCAUUUUGGGAAAAGAAGGGUUGCAGUGUCUGGAAUCAUUCUAUGCUCCCUCUUAUGUUGUUUCUAUCUUAACCUAUAGCCUCACCCUCCUCUCCGUAAAUAGAGGAAAUUUCCACGACAUUUGGCGACGAGGAGGGGAUGUAAAUCUUCACUCGGUGACCGUUCCUACGAUCUAGGUAAAUAAAUCAUGCACGAGGGAUCCCCUAAACUUGGGAUCUCAGGGAGAACCACACUUCGGGAACGAAGCAGAUGGACCAACCUUUGAUCUAAGAGGAAGCGAGCCGAGUGGAUACCACAUCUCGAACUGAGUUUUUUUUAAAGAAAAAGGUGAGCGAACUACACACAGAUUUGAAGUCGAGUUUUUUAAUUAUGCCUGUUACGUAUACUCUGAGCGUGAAUUCCUUUGUAAGGAAGGCACCUUGGCGGCGUAAGCAGGGCCGAGUCAGAGGAGAGUAAUCUAGGGGUUUAGUGGACUCAAAAGAUACUCUGCGCUGUCCGGUUGCCAGUGACCAAGAGCCCUCCUGACACUGAAUUGAUCACAGUGGGGAUUUGGUGAGGUCUGUCGGGGUGAUGGGCCAGGGGGUCUGUGUGUUCUAGGUGAAACACGGCACUUGGUGAAGCCCUAUUGGAAGAAGGACCUCAUUCUGUGCGUCUGUGUGAUUUGUCUAAGUGACCCUCAGAUGUGGUGAAUUCCAAUGAUUUUAAAUGUGCUAGCCAGGUAUGCUUUAGGAUUACUCUGUGUGAGUAUGUAAUAGUUGUCGGACCGUUCUGUGUGAGCGGGGUAGGACUACUCUGUGUGAGUAGCGGGGUAGGGUUUACUCUGUGUGGGCAAACCUUUUGAUGUCCUGUGUGGACGUCUGAACAAGUUCUAUGUGAAAAUCUGAACAAAUCCUGUGUGGAUGAUCCUGAAAGUUCUGUGUGAGUACCUAAGAUUUUUAAAGUUUUAUAUGGAUUCUGUGAAUUAUUUGAAAUUAUGAUAAAUGGUAUGUGUGUAUAAAGUAAUGCGGAGAAUGAUUAGAUACAAUUUAAACCACCCAUUCGUAGACGUACAUAGGUUUUGAGUUGAUAUCUUAAAUGGAUAAUUUGAUAAAGAUUAAGUUUUUAAGCACUAUUAAAAUAAUCUACAACAUCUGGGAAAUUGAGCUCUAGAAACUGAUUAGAGUGUGUCCACUUUUGGUUCUUACCCUAACGAUGUAACUAUAGAACGCAUAUUGGAUUAUCUCUGUCUGGGUGAAACAUGUUAAAUUAAACUGCCCUUAAGGUCUGAACAUGUUAUAAUUUUUCUUCCCAGUAUGAGAGAAGUUGCGGGGUUUAUUGAAUAAACUGUUUUCCAUAAAGUUAAAGAGAAUUCGAGGGAUGGUCGAUGUAAUUUAUAAUGUUGUACAAAGCCUAAGGUUUUCCAUCAAGCUAAUUAUCAUUGCGUGAUUAAUGUGAUGUAGUAAAGUAAUUGAAAUACGUUGCAUAAGUAAACAUAAUCUACUUUUAAUAAAAAGGUGCAAUAUCUGCUUCCUAGUCAUUAGUGUCGAUUUUAUUCUUUGAUUGCUAAUAUGUGUAAUUUGGAAUUUGAGAAUCAUGGCUGGAAUUUGAGAAUCAUAGUUGGAGUAACGUUUGUACUAUUAAAAUUGGGCUAUUAUUCUUCUGGGAAUUACCGAUAGUGACGUGUUUUGAUUUUACUUUGUAAAUGGGGUUUAUAUCCGGAGAAUUUUAGUUUUUCGCAAUAGCAUUGGUGGUUCAGUGGUGGUAGAACUCUCGCCUGCCACGCGGGAGGCCCGAGUUCCAUUCCCAGUCAUGGUGCUGGCUGAAUUCAGAGUUUUUGAUUGUAAAUAAUCUAUUUGAAUGUUUGCCUGGAAAGUUAUGGUCGCUAGUGUUUGUAUAAGAGAUAAAUUGAACGUUUUCAAUAGAUUGUUUAGGUUAAAUUGAUAGGCUAAUUCAAUUUAAAAUAAUAACGAAGCGAAUUCUGAUGCAAGACGAUGUCUGUUCACUAAAUGAUCUGCUGGAAUAAUGUAUUGAGAAUUGGGUCGUAUUUAAAUUACUGUGUCAAUAGAGAAGACAGUUACCUAAGUUAAAGAAAUUCUGAAUGAUAGCGGGGAGAGAAUGGCGAUAGGAAAGUGGUUACCGAAAUGUUUUUCAUUCUUAUAGAUUGACUGACGCAUGUUAUAAUUUUAGCGCUGCGUGUGUUAUUUUUAAAGAAACAGGAUACAUUUCAUAAGUGUGGAGAGCAGAAGAGGAAGUUAUAAAGUUGGGUUUUAAUCUUACGAUAGAGGUAAGGGAAAAACGUUGAAAUGAGAGGGGUUAUAUUUUUGCCCACUGGGGGAAAAAGAAGUAGGAAAGUUUAGUUGAAAGUAUGGAAGAGAGUUAGUUGUUAUGUUGGCUACUAAUUGUCAGGGAAAGUUGCUGGAGGCAGGUAGAUUGUUGUAGAAUAACGUAAAUUUGCGUUAUUAGUUUGAAUAUACAAUAACCUUACUCUAAUUGUUUUGACCGUUGUUCAGGUACAUUUUUUCUGUAUUUCUAGCAGCUGAUUCGCUAGGUGGGCAUCAUAGAUUUGUGGCGUUAAUAUUUACUGUAUUAGGCUAUGAGAAUUGGGAGACUGGAUGUCUGAAUCAUAAAACAUCGUAAGGAUAGAUUCUGAUGGUUAUUGAUUCUUGGUUUGAUUGUUUAAGUAACACCAGUUAAUUUGAGCAGGAAAGUCUAACGUUAUAGUAUGUUUUCAUUAUGUGGAACAAUGUCAGGUCAUUAAAGAUGAUUGCUGGAUUGAAUAGUACGCCAACCUGUUGACAGAAGACUGAAUGGGUAUGAAUGUUGAAAAGCAAGAUUGGGCCAAACUAGUAAACUAGUAUGUUAAGUGGGGGAGUAUCAUAGAUUUUAAUUAUAGUGUUGUUACCGCAAUAGUCAAAACAAUUUCAUAUGUUUUGGGAAAUUAGCCAGGUUGAAUUUUGUAUUUGAGUUCCUUUAUAAUUUGCUUUUUAAAAGAGAGGUUGGAAUCAAGUAUGAUGCCUUGGCACUUAAAAUCAGAUACCACCAGGAGCUUUUUAGUAGUAGUUGUUUUUUGAGGAACAUGCAGACUGUGUUUUAUUUUAUUGAGAUGUACACAUGAGUCUCUGAGCAAUUUUGUCAUCUGAAUCAUUAUAGUAGUGAGUUCUUGUGUAGUCUGUUAUUUGCAUGAAUUUAUCAAUGUAUCAUCUGCAUACAUUGGAAUUUCAGACCCUGUACAGAAUAAAGGAAGAUCAUUAAUGGAUGUGCUGAACAGUAUUGACCUUUGUGGAUAUCAGUGGGGGAAAAAAAACAAGUUUAUUUGUAUUUUUACGAUGAUGAGACAUCACCGAUUUUUGAAGGAUUUUAGAUUUGUUAAAAAAAAAAUCAGGAUUGGUUUUUACUAAAUUUACAUCAACAGAUUGAAAUGAUUAGGUUGCUGAUUAAGAGUUGUAUCAUACAUAUACAUUGAUUUGAUUAAAACUUAUGAUUAAUGAUUUGAGGUACAGUGGAAUUAUCAUUAGGUUUGGUUUAUAGUUUCACGUUUGAGUUUUUGAAUCGAUGUAGUGUAAAUUAAUAAUAAGUGUUUUUGUGUUUUCUCCGGGAAAAUGGAUAUUUCACUGUCUCUCUCUGGAAUGUGUCCAGGGACGAUACUCUUGGGGAGAGUGAGUGAAGGGAGGCCAUAAACUACCACAUUGGAGGGGGCCGGGAAGUUUUUUGUUGUAGUGCAAAGGUAUUAUAGGGGCACUUUUAUUUUAUUUUCUGACUUUUCAUUACACACGCAAAUUCUUUUGAUAAAGGAAUGUUCUGGGAACAUGGAAAUACGAAAAUGUUUGGAACUAGUUCAUUAUUGUUUGCAAAUUGUUUCAUAUAGUGCAAAACACUGCUUUGGAGGAUUUUGUAUGACCUAUGACCUUCUGAUGACUUUCCGUUGUGGCUUGAUCACCCGCAUUGGAAAGCCAUUUGGAUAAUGAAAUUAUGGUCAUUUGUAAUACUGCUUUCAAAAUAAUUUGUGUAAUUGGUAAAUAUGUUUCUUAUCCAUAUGUGUAAUUUGGACCAGUGUGAAGAGGGAGUAGGGCAUUGCUUUUAACUAAGGGUAUGCUGCUUUAAGUCUAUUUUCCUAUGACCAUAGGGGUUAAAUAUUUUUUCUUUGUGGAGUUUUUUUUCAGUUUAGUGAUUUUAAUUUGAUUAGGAUUAGCUGAAAUGUUGUUUUAUAUUUGUUUUCAGUUUUGUUUUACAUUACUCUCAUACGGAGAGAUGUGUGAAAAACAUGGGGGAGGAUUCCGUUUUUUGAGGGUUUGAAUUGAAGUUAUACAAUUUAAGUGAUAUGUGAAUGAGUUUAUUGUAUUGUUGAGUGUAUUGUAUUGUUGUGUUUGUUUUGUUCUAUUCCCGAGAGAUAUAGGUCUAAUUUCUUGAUCCUUGGCUCUACGAUGGAGUUGACAGUGAGAUGGGGAGUAUAAACCAAUUUGAAAGAAUAGUUUCAAUAGAAUGUUUUGAUAUUCUCUGUGAAAUAUGUUUAGAUAUGUGUGUUAAGAAUAAUUGGUAAAAUUAAUCAUUUAUCAUGUAGUUAAUGAACCGAACUAAACUGUUGUUCUGAUCUGUUCUUUCGAGGUUAUCAUGAAAAGUGACAUCAGACGGUAUCUUAAUGCAUGGAAGAGAUCAUUUGGACCGAAUGGUGUGUACCUCAAACCCCCUCUACCUGGCUGAAGAAGAGAGACAAAGGCAUUGAAGGAGGCUUUCCUAACCACUUCUACCGAGAGAAAAGAACCAAGCCAGAAAUUGGUGUACAGUAUCAGAUCUAAGCUAUCAACUGCUUUUCUUUCAUGGUUCUGUCAUACUGUGAUGAGUCCACUUGGAGUGAUCAUGGAGAAAGAUCUGUUCUAACAUUUUCUUGUGAUGCUGGUAUAUUGGUUGACGAAUGGACAAGACAUGAGUGGUAAGGAUGAGACAUUGAAAUUGGGACAUUGUCAUGGGCCGUCCAUUUUGAACUGUAAAGCUAUCUGAAGAAAAACGAAGAUGCCAGAAGAUGCCGUGCCUGUGUAAGGGGGGUUUAAUCAAACUGUGCCAUUAAAAUUGUUUCUACACCAUGUAAAUCAGGUCUACACCAUGUAAAUUGUAGUAAUUUAGAUUAAGAAUGCAUUGAGAUACUGAUCUGUAUUAAAAUCAUGAUUAAAAAAGUGAAUAGUAGACUUAUGGGAUGAUUAUACUGUAUGUAAAUCUGCUAAUAUUGAUGUGUGUUAAAUUGAGGUUUUUACUUUAAGUGAUAAUGACCCAUUUGAAUCACUGAGGAAUGUUGGAUAAAUAGUUGGGUUGUUACUUAUGAUUUCACUUCCCUAUUCUCUAUUCCUGAGUAUAUUUCUCAGCAUGAGUACUUAGAGGGAUGUCUGUCCUAUAUGUUGUGAGGAGGCCUGUGUUUAGACACUUUCUCAUGUAACUUAAAGAGCAUAAAUAUGUUAUGUUUUUAUUUUUCCUCAAAUGGAUUAUUCUGUGUUAUUAAACAUGUGCAAGGUUGUCUUGUAGAAUAAAGGUUGUAAUCUUAGUUUCAGAAGGGAGAAAGCUUACAUAUAAGCUAAGGUAUUUGACAUUAAGGGGAUAUGAAUUUUAAAAUAUUGAGUAUGUAAUUAAUAUUCUGAUUCUUCAAAAGGGACUUAGUCCCGAGAGGGGAAUGUUGUGGAAUUAUCGGAAUUUGUUGGUAACAUUUUUAAGCUGUUUAAUAUUAAUCAAAUGUGUGUAAGUUACUUCUCAUCAGAAUGGUAUUUUUGUGUAAUUCUGUGGUGAGGUUGCAGUUAUCUGUUCUAUGUCAAAACUAAGUUGCAUGGGCCGCUGAGAGGGGAGAGGUCAAAGUGUCAUCAUGUGUAAACAUAUCUUUUACUCCCUACCUUUCCCAUUUUGGGAAAAGAAGGGUUGCAGUGUCUGGAAUCAUUCUAUGCUCCCUCUUAUGUUGUUUCUAUCUUAACCUAUAGCCUCACCCUCCUCUCCGUGAGUUUGUCCAGGAGUUUGUAUUUAGAGUGGGUUGUAUCUAAAUGACAAUUUGAUAUAUGCCUGUUGAUAUGGAGGAAUCGGUUUAUGGUUCUGUGGUUUGGGAAAGGAGACAAAGCUGAACGAUGAAUUAUGUCUAUGCUGUCUGACUAUGUGUGUCUUUGCUAUUAAAAGUAACUCGGUUGCAUUGUAAGGGGGCUCUCAGAGAAUUCACUGGGAGACACUGAAUUUAUCUGAGAGUCACAGGAUUUUGAUAGAGCUCAUAUAAUUAAAGAUGGACUUUUAUAACUAA